rnacentral:rRNA from 1 species
GGAGGGUGCAAGCGUUAAUCGGAAUUACUGGGCGUAAAGAGCACGUAGGCGGCUUGGUCAGUCGGAUGUGAAAGCCCCGGGCUUAACCUGGGAAUUGCACUCGAUACUGCCAGGCUAGAGUUUAGUAGAGGAAUGCGGAACUCCGGGUGUAGCGGUGAAAUGCGUAGAUAUCCGGAGGAACAUCAGUGGCGAAGGCGGCAUUCUGGGCUAAAACUGACGCUGAGGUGCGAAAGCGUGGGGAGCAAACAGGGAUUAGAUACCCUGGUAGUCCACGCCGUAAACGAUGUCAACUAGCCCGUUGGGAUUUUUCUUAGUGGCGCAGCUAACGCGAUAAGUUGACCGCCUGGGGGAGUACGCCGGCAACGGUA